rnacentral:rRNA from 1 species
CCUACGGGUGGCUGCAGUGGGGAAUAUUGGGCAAUGGGCGCAAGCCUGACCCAGCAACGCCGCGUGAAGGAAGAAGGCUUUCGGGUUGUAAACUUCUUUUCUGAGGGACGAAGAAGGUGACGGUAACUCAGGAAUAAGCCACGGCUAACUACGGGCCAGCAGCCGCGUUAAUACGGAGGAUGCGAGCGUUAUCCGGAUAUAUGGGGUUAAAUGGGUGCGAUGGCGGAGGUGCAAGUCAGCGCGAAAAUUGCGGGGCUCAACGUCGUACUGCCGUUGAAACUGCGUCCCUUGAGUGCGCGAGAGGGAUGUGGAAUGCGUGGUGUAGCGGUGAAAUGCAUAGAUAUCACGCAGAACUCCGAUGGCGAAGGCAGCAUACCGGCGCGCAACUGACGCUCAUGCACGAAAGCGUGGGUAUCGAACAGGAUUAGAUACCCGAGUAGUC